CUGCACAGGAAGUGGUGCACUUUUACUCCUUAAGCGUGUAGAUGAGACGGAGUAGCUGUGUCUGUUUCACAAGGUAUUCUGAGGAGAUCAAGCCACGUCGCCUAUAAUGAUGACUGUUUUUGCUGUUCUUCUGUGUGUUCUGCUACAUCAGGCCAUAGGCCAAACUAAAGGUACCCAAAGUACAAAAGCCAUGCCUGUGCUGUCUUCUGCGACAGUCCUGGCCCCUCACAGGACUAUAAGUGAGAACAGUGACUUUUAUGUGACCUGCAGCACAUACGGAAGAAACAUUACCUCCAUGAUUUUUGUUUAUUUAUGUAAAGAUUCACUGGGAAUUCGAAGAAUGACACUGAAGCCCGAUAAAAAUGACAUCACCUUCCACAUAUCCAGAGUUGACCUUCAUCACAGUGGAAAUUACAGCUGUGUUUAUUCCAACAAAAGUUACACACUGUCUGAUGUAACACAGAGAGGGGACAACACCAUUCAGAUUCUGGUUAUACCCAACUUUCUCCCAGCAGACAUUGCAGUAGUGGGGCCAUCAGCUGUUCAUGAGGGAGACAAUAUUGAAUUCAGGUGUACGGUUCCUUCCUCCCUUCACACGCUUGGAGAAUGUCCACUCGUCUACUCUUACUUGAGGAAAAAUGGGACUGUCCUGCUGGUGCAGGCGUUUAAUGUCAGUCAGAUGAAGGCGACUUUCUCCAUCAAAGGUGCAGUUAUGAGAGAUUCGGGUCAUUACAGCUGUGUGGUGCUGCCAACGAUGUGCAUUCAAGAGCAGGAGCAUGUGGUCCAUGGAAAAAACACUGUACUUCUUGAGGUCAAAGGUGAGGAUCAAGUUUAGAAAAUUCAAUA
rnacentral:lncRNA from 1 species